CCCUCGUUCUUAGUUGCCAACAGUAAGAUGGGAACUCUAAGAAGACUGCCGGUGAUAAACCGGAGGAAGGUGGGGAUGACGUCAAGUCCUCAUGGCCCUUAUGACCAGGGCUACACACGUGCUACAAUGGCCGGUACAAAGAGUUGCGAUACCGCGAGGUGGAGCUAAUCUCAUAAAGCCGGUCUCAGUUCGGAUUGGAGUCUGCAACUCGACUCCAUGAAGUUGGAAUCGCUAGUAAUCGCGGAUCAGCAUGCCGCGGUGAAUACGUUCCCGGGCCUU
rnacentral:rRNA from 1 species